AAGGCGUCUAAGGUAGGUUUUCCAUUACAUUGCCUUACUGAUGAGUCCAGUAGUGGAAACCGGGACGAAACGCCAA
rnacentral:hammerhead_ribozyme from 15 species